UCACUAUCAUGAGAACAGCACAGGGAAGACCUGCCCCAUGAUUCAGUUACCUCCCACCAGGUCCCUCCCAGAACACAAGUAGAAUUCAAGUUGAGAUUUGGGUGGGGACACAGCCAAAGCAUAUCAGGGCUGUAACAAAUAAAGCUGCUAUGAACAUCUUUCUAGAGGUCUUUUUGUGGUCACAUGCUUUUAUUUCUCUGAAGUACUUUGCAGUAGAGUGGCUGGAUCAUAUGGUAGGUAGGAAUAUGUUUAGCCUUUUAAGAAACUGCUCUGUAUUCUAAAGUUGCACUAUUUUACAUUCACACUAACAGUAAUUCUAGUCUGUGCUACUCCAUCUUGACCAUAAAAGUAGUUUUAAUCGUUUUUUAUUCUUUGCUGUUGUGAAAGCUUCCUUGAAACAUAGAGAAAAUUAAAUUUUUAAUAAAAAUAACUUUUUAAAAGGCUUUCUAAAUUCUGAUAUUUGCUGAAACUGUUUUCUUGUACUUAUACAGCAUUCAUAGGAUUUUAACCAAAUAUGCCCAAUAAUUUCAACAUUAGAUAAUUUUAUUUACUGAGAAAGGAAGAUAAAGUUGAUUUCAAUGACAUUUCUUCAUUUUAUGAAAUCUAUGUUAUCUACAGGGAGAGUACAAAGAUUAGAAUUCCUAUAUUUUGCUUUUUAUGUUUAAAUAGUCAGAAAAUGUUGAAGCAGACAACAAAUAUCUACUCCAGGGAAAUAUCUAGAGGUUUUGGAGUGUGAUGAACUCUCUCUGGAAACCUUACCUUUCAAGAAUUCCAAGAAAUUUGAAACAUAAUGUAAUCUAGCAGAAAUUUCUUCUUUGAGCAAUGAGGCCUGUCACUAAGCCAUGGCAGUAGGAAAGAGGAGCUGGAAAGGAACAUUGAUGAGGGCAGUUGCAUUUGGUGAUUUCCCAAGAGGAGACAAACACCAAUCUACUGAAGGACUUUGGCUGCCAGCAGCUGUUCUUGACAAUCUGAACAUCUGGUUUUGUAAACUACUUGUAACCAAAACUUCACAAACUGAGAUUCAUCCUCAAGAGCACAACUGGCAUUUAAAGAGCUUUUAGUAAAAACUUAUUUUAAGGUCAAAGAAUAAAGCAGAAUCAAAAAGGUAUAUUGACUCUGCCUGGAGGAAAAUAAGAAGUAGAUUUAACUUUUCUACAUAUGAUGUUCAUUAUUUUAAUUUUGACACUCUACAUUUCCCAAAUUAGAUUCCAUACAGCAGUAGUUAUGUGAUAUGACCAAUAUUGAAAAUGUUUUGUUCCACUAACAACUAUUUUUAUAUUAGCUAGGUGUUGUGGUGUACUUCUGUGGCCCAGCUACUUGAGAGGCUGAGGCAGAUCACUGGAUCCCAGGAGGUUGAGGCUGCAGUGAACUGUGAUUGUAUGUGAUUGCACCACUACAUUCCAGCCCGAGCAAAAGGACAAUGCCCUGUCUCUGAAAAAAAUAAAAAUAAACUAACAAAAAACAAAUUAAGAAAAGAAAAAUAUUUUAUGUUGCAGUUCUCCUCUAGGAGCAUCAAAAUAGCCAUUAAUACAGUAAAGUCACUGAGACUUUUUUCAUUUUUGUUUAGCUGGAUUUAAAAGUAUGUUCACUAUUACUACUUGCUGUGGAGAAAUUAUUUUGACAAUGAAACUAUUUUUCUCGCCUUGAUAUCUGUUGUAUUGGUUUUCUGGGCCGUAACAAAAUACCACAAAAUAGUGGCUUUGAACAACAGAAAUAUAUUGUCUCACGGUUCUGAAGCCUAGAAAUCUGAAAUCAAGGUAUGGACUGGGCCAUGUUCCUUCUGAAACUUGUAGAGAAAGGAUCCAUCCUUGCCUCUUCCUGCUUUUGGUAGCCCAGAUGUUCCUUGGUUGGUGGCAGCAUAAUUCUAAUGUUUGUCUCUUUUUUCAUAUGUGUUCAGAUUCCUUUUCUUAAAAAAAAUGACAUCAGUUGUGUUGGAUAAUGGCUCAUCCUAAUGCCCUCAUUUUUGCCUGAUUAUAUUGAUGAAUAACUUAUUUCCAAACAAAGUCAUAUUCUGGGUUACCAGAAUAUAGGGCUAUAAGAGGUAUAUUUUUGUGUGGGGCACAAUUUAACUUGUAAUGUCUGUUAACAUGUUCUCUGAGGAUCAUAAUUUGGAAUAUACUAUGCUACAUAAUCACUACUCUUAUCUAUUGCAGUGGAAAGGUGGGUGUUGUAUGUAUGAUUUUUAAAUUGUGCAAAACAUACAGAAACUUCAGAGCUAAAGAAAAAUAUAUAAAGUUAACAAUUAUUCCAUAACCAUAAUUUAUGUAAUCUAUCCCUAUUAAUGAGUACUAAACUGCCAGUAGCAUUAAUAAAAAUGACUCAGAAUUCAUAAUCUGCUGACAAAUGAUGAGUAAUGUCAUUAUAAAAUGUUAAAAAGUACAUAUCUUAAUACUAUUACUGCAAAGACAAAGUUGAGAAUGUCAGCCAUAACACUUGAGAAUGUACAUCAUACAUGCUUUUUGUUUAUCUGGAAUCAAAGCCUCUAUUUAAUUAUAGGAGAAUUUAAAAUAUAAUAUUCAUCUAAUUUCUGCUUUAUAUUUCAAGUUAGUUAAAACCAAUUAUUUAGGGGCCAUUUUAAAUACAUUAAUUUACACAUAUAUUUAUCACUGUAAAUAUAUUCUUCAGGUUAAUCAGUUAAUCAACACCAACCUGAAUCAGUGGUAAUAUUGUGAAUUUAUUUUGGUAUUAGCCACAAGACACAUGCAUAUAUAUUUAUGUAAAAGUAUAUAUUUUUGUUCCAAAGUAAAUAUGUGAAAUCAAAAUACACUGCAUUUAACACCCUACUGAUCAUCUGGAGACAUAAAAACA
rnacentral:lncRNA from 1 species